rnacentral:rRNA from 1 species
CUACGGGCCGCUGCAGUGGGGAAUAUUGCACAAUGGGCGAAAGCCUGAUGCAGCAACGCCGCGUGGAGGAUGAAGCAUUUCGGUGUGUAAACUCCUUUUAUAAGAGAAGAUUAUGACGGUAUCUUAUGAAUAAGCACCGGCUAACUCCGUGCCAGCAGCCGCGGUAAUACGGAGGGUGCAAGCGUUACUCGGAAUCACUGGGCGUAAAGAACGCGUAGGCGGAUUUUUAAGUCUUGAGUGAAAUCCUAUGGCUCAACCAUAGAACUGCUUGAGAAACUGGAAAUCUAGAAUCUGGAAGAGGUAGAUGGAAUUAGUAGUGUAGGGGUAAAAUCCGUAGAUAUUACUAGGAAUACCAAAAGCGAAGGCAAUCUACUGGGACAGUAUUGACGCUGUGGCGUGAAAGCGUGGGGAGCAAACAGGAUUAGAUACCCCCGUAGUC